rnacentral:rRNA from 1 species
UACAUUCAGUUGGGCACUCUAAUGAGACUGCCGGUGACAAGCCGAGGAAGGUGGGGAUGACGUCAAGUCCUCAUGGCCCUUAUAGGUGGGGGCUACACACGUCAUACAAUGGCUGGUACAAAGGGUUGCAACCCGCGAGGGGGAGCUAAUCCCAUAAAGCCAGUCGUAGUCCGGAUCGUAGUCUGCAACUCGACUACGUGAAGUCGGAAUCGCUAGUAAUCGUGGAUCAGAAUGUCACGGUGAAUACGUUCCCGGGUCUU